AAAGACCUCUCCAGCGUCGUUGGGAGGUUCGGUUCCGCCCCAGAUUCGGGACUUUGGGGACAAAGAAAGCGCUAAAUGAAUAAAGAUGCUGACGAGCGCCUCGCAUUAGCCUCGGCGUCCCCAGCCCUUUGCGCGGCCCGAGAGCUGAAGGGACCCGGGAGGCUGGGAGCCCUUCCGAGACCCCUGGGCUCCCCGGCCCGGCCCGGCCCUAACUGCCGGGCGCUCCCUUCAGCUCCCCGCGCUCCGGGAGGGAGGGGGCUCCGCCAGCCACGGCCGCUUCCUGGGCUGCGCUGGGGCCUGGGGGAUUCACGCGGGAAUCGUCUUAGAGUUGGGUAACCGAGUUCCCCCCCCCCCCCCAUGCCAAUUAAUUGAUUCCGGCCGGAAAUGUGUGGGGCGGGGGUCUAUUCCGUGCUGGGCCGUGGAGGCCUUCCCCUCCCCCUUCCCUCCGUGUUCUGCACAAACAGGGACAGCUGGGAAGCCAUCUUGGCCCCCCAAUGUGAGGCAGGCUGGGAGCCCUGAGCCGAGCAGCCCCCCCUCUCCCCCCCCCCCCGCCCGGCGCAUUCAGACCCGAGCCCUGAGGGAGGAAGAGGAGGAAAAGCGGGGGGGGGGGGGGGGUAGGGGAGGGGGGAUCAUCUGAAAGGGCCUUGCCGGGCAGUUCCAGAGCCGGAGGGGGGAGGGCGGGGGGCACGGCUCAGCGGAGGCCAUGUUGGAGGGAGGCGGCUGAAGCUCGGCGUGGGCCCGCAGCCUUUCCCCCAUGUAGCCGCUGCGCUCGCAGAGCCUCGCGGGAGACCCCAGGGGGCUCUUCUCGGAGGCGAGUCUGUUUUAUGGGGUGUGGAAGUUCCCUUCAGCAAAGCAGACACAGCCUGGUGUGCAGGGGAAGGAGUGCUGGAAGCAGGGGAGCCUGGGUUCAGAUCGAGCCUCCUCCACUUACCAGCGUCUGGAACUUUGGCUAGUUGUGUGAUCCUGCACAAUGCACUGAACUUCACAUCUCAAGAUACAUGGGGAACUUCUUCCCCAGGGCAGGGCCCCAUCAUCUUCUUCCAGCUCCUCACCCAAGGCUCUGAGACGAUGGACAAAAUGACCCGUCUGGGGCCAACAUGGGAAUGCUGCCUUCUCACCAGAGCCGGCCCUGAUGUUUAACUGGUGACAUGCUCGUCCUCCUUGGGCACCAAGCAAACAGCUGAGAUUAGCACCCGGCUAAUGAGAAGAAACAAGCUAAAACGGGGCUCUGGAGGCUGCUGCCCAUCCCAUCCUGUCCCCUCUCUGCCCAGGGAGGUCUUGUCCUGUUUCCCUCCAAGAGAAUUGUCCCAGGCCCCAAAAUGGCUAGAUCAUAGCUCUGGUUUCCAUAGAUUCAGUUCAUCACAUUAAGUAUGGACCAGAAACCGAGACUUCCUUGAGCCCAGAGCCUGACACUUUCAGAACCAGUGGGCAAAACCAGUGGGAAUGAGAAAGAUGAAUUUGAAUUCUCCCCAAAGAAACAGCCAUAGAGCUGUUCUACUCAGCCACUGAGCAGUUAGUGAAUGCCUACUGCUCCUAAGACACUUGUCAUAGAGUUUGGGGAAAAGGGAAAACUAAUGAAUUAAAAAUUAAUUUUAAAAAAUGA
rnacentral:lncRNA from 1 species